UUAUAUACGGUCUAGGGUCCUAUCUUGUACCCGGUGCAGCGCAAAGCCCAACACAAGCGUCUUUGCUAGUUAAAGACCAACGCAGUUGUCAAUUUUCCGUCCAGGGCUU